rnacentral:rRNA from 1 species
GAUGAACGCUGGCGGCGUGCCUAAUACAUGUAAGUCGAGCGAACUGAUUAGAAGCUUGCUUCUAUGACGUUAGCGGCGGACGGGUGAGUAACACGUGGGCAACCUGCCUGUAAGACUGGGAUAACUUCGGGAAACCGAAGCUAAUACCGGAUAGGAUCUUCUCCUUCAUGGGAGAUGAUUGAAAGAUGGUUUCGGCUAUCACUUACAGAUGGGCCCGCGGUGCAUUAGCUAGUUGGUGAGGUAACGGCUCACCAAGGCAACGAUGCAUAGCCGACCUGAGAGGGUGAUCGGCCACACUGGGACUGAGACACGGCCCAGACUCCUACGGGAGGCAGCAGUAGGGAAUCUUCCGCAAUGGACGAAAGUCUGACGGAGCAACGCCGCGUGAGUGAUGAAGGCUUUCGGGUCGUAAAACUCUGUUGUUAGGGAAGAACAAGUACGAGAGUAACUGCUCGUACCUUGACGGUACUUAACCAGAAAGCCACGGCUAACUACGUGCCAGCCGCCGCGGUAAUAC